rnacentral:piRNA from 1 species
AUGGUUGUAUUAUUUUCUCUGAAUCC